ensembl:misc_RNA 7SK 7SK RNA
AAAAGCGAGGACAAUCUGGCUGUUACAUCUGUCACUCAAGAUUGUGAGUUGAUUCAGAUGGUCUGGUUGUUAGGAGGGAGUCUUAUUUCUCCCUCAUGGGUCCAUGUGCUUCCCCCACUUGAAGCUGCACCCUUAGUUGAGGUACCCCUGUAGAGAGGGGCCAUUCUUCACUCAAGAGUAUUGAAAAGCAGCUGUCGGUCCCACCACCUCCCUACCCCGUUAGAACCUCCAAAUGAACACAAAAAGAACUACAAAAUAAAAAACAAGAUUACCUUUCUAGAGCCAGGCCUGGUGACAGGACCCAGCAAUCU